GCGAUUCACAACCAACCUAUUUUAGAGAGGAGCAUUCCCAUAGGAUGUGGUCAUCAUGGGUAGUCUUAAGAGAUUGCACUGGGGAGACAUACAAUAAGGGUACAGGACUGCUUACGGGACAGAAUUGCUCACAAACAAGAUUUUGGAACAGGUGCUGUGCUGAACACUGAAUAUGAGGGUGCUGCUCUUCACUCUGGGUCUUCUGGGACUUGGUCUAUCAGCUCCAGUUGGGCCAUUUGAUAAUAACCUAAGUGCUGAGGACCUGCUCCUACAGUACUUGAUGCAAAGCAAUAAUGUUAACCCCAAUCCAACUUACAGAUUUAAUAUAAGCCCCUACCAAAAUCCAAUGUAUGGAUUUAACAUGUUUCGCUUUCAACAGCCAACUUUGUACCGGCCACUGACUCGGCCUAUGUUUCCCUAUGCAAUGGCAAAUUACCCUAGAUACCCACCAGUUCCACCACCUAUGCCCAUGCCCCAUAGUUUUGGUAUACAGCCCCAUAUUGUAUUUGUACCACUACCAGAUCCAAAUACAGCUAGGCCUACAACUAGACCCACAGCUAGGCCUACAACUAGACCCACAACUAAAUCUCCAGCUUCUACUCACAUGCCGUUAACAGCUGGACAACGGCAACUCUCAGGAGGGCUGUAGGGUUGGUCAAGCCUGUGCUAAGAGGAGUGGAUACACCUACUGUGGAUUAAUGUGUUAAAAUAUGAUACAUCUGUGUUCUGUCACAUAGUUCCAUUUUAAUCAAUAUGAACUUCUACACUGUAGCCUUUGUAUACUUCAUUUAGUUAAAGGUUUAAGGGAUUUGUGCUCUCUUAAAUAUGUUUUUUAAGUAUCAA